rnacentral:rRNA from 1 species
AUUGAACGCUGGCGGCAUGCCUAACACAUGCAAGUCGAACGGGGCAGCAAUGCCUAGUGGCGGACGGGUGGGGAAUACGUAGGAAUCUGCCCUUAAGUGGGGGAUAACCAGGGGAAACCCUGACUAAUACCGCAUGAUCUCUUCGGAGCAAAGAGGGGGACCGCAAGGCCUCUCGCUUCUGGAUGAGCCUACGUCUGAUUAGCUAGUUGGUAGGGUAAAGGCCUACCAAGGCGACGAUCAGUAACUGGUCUGAGAGGACGACCAGUCACACUGGAACUGAGACACGGUCCAGACUCCUACGGGAGGCAGCAGUGGGGAAUCUUGCGCAAUGGGCGAAAGCCUGACGCAGCCAUGCCGCGUGAAUGAUGAAGGUCUUAGGAUUGUAAAAUUCUUUCACCGGGGACGAUAAUGACGGUACCCGGAGAAGAAGCCCCGGCUAACUUCGUGCCAGCCGCCGCGGUAAAAC